UUUCCUUUACCUGCGCUUUUCUAAGGAAUCCGCAAUAUAGCAACCGUAUCGAGCACGCAUUUUUAUGCGAACAUCGGAUGUCAGCACGGUUGCCUCUAAACUGUCGCGGCUGAAAAGAGUAAAGUUCGAAGCGUACCGUGAAGAAUUUCUUCUGUUAAGGGGUGUUCGGACAUGGUCACCUGCUGGAAUGGCUCACGCACAAGUACUGUAUUUCCUUUUAUUUGCUUGUGUCAGCCAAUCCCACUGUGCAAGCACCAUUGGAAAACGUAACCCAAUGGUAAACACAAAGUGCCUAAAGGAACCCACAGUAGAAGGCUGCGAAACCAUUCUAUUAAGCUGGAGCUUUAGCAGUGAGACCAAGACAUGCGAAAAAGGCUUUGUUUGCUCGGACUGCGCUAACAGAUUCGACAAUCAAAAUGAAUGCACAACAAUGUGCGCUAACGUACAAGUACAAAAACGAACACGAAAUAAGAAGAACUGCAGAUAUUGGCUUACAUGGGGUGCAUCGUGUCAGGAUAUGUGGUUUGAGUUUAAGAAGAACAAGGCCGGAAUAAUGCGCCGACUACUAUUCUACACCGGCUGUGGACCAGAUAAGGAGAAGUUAUUUAAAUACGACUUUUAUAGGAAGAAAUGCAAUGCUGUGAAGAAUCGCCUACGAAAAAACCAGUCAAACAAUGAAAACGGAUCCAGUGGAGUUGCUGUCAGAGGAUGAAGGCACACUCCCCCAAGCUCCGCAAUAUCAAAUUCUGCACCCACCACAUAAAAACUCUUCGACUAAUGCUUUCAAACAUCAGGACGAGUGAAAACAUGGUGAUAAAGGUCCCAUAAUUUAAUAAGUCACGGACAUAACAAGACAUCUCCCGGUACUCCUUAGUACAAGAUGGGUAAUGGUAGUGCUCCCGACGUAGGGCUCCGGUUGCAGUGCUUCGAACCCCACGGACAACUUCAGGAGCUUAAAUAAAAUUAUGUUGCUCUUCCAAGAAUCCAUUGCAUAUGACAAGCAAAUUUAUGCCGGCGCUGUUUCGUCCGUGUUUGCAAUUUCAGCAAUUUUUCACCUUUUAUAUAUACACGAAUAAACAGCUC
rnacentral:lncRNA from 1 species